rnacentral:misc_RNA from 1 species
CCAUAGCAUACAUGAUGCUACCAAUAACACUCGAAUAGGGAACACUAAACAUGUGAUCCAUCUCCUCAUCUAUUUUUAGUGACAUGUCUGCAGAUAACUUGAAAUGGGCAGCAAAUGGAACAAUCACAGGCUUAGCAUUAUUCAUGUUGAAACGCUUAAGCACUUUCUUAACAUAGGCUUGUUGACUGUUGAGACAAAAAAACCUUCUCAACACUCCUAUCCCUGGUAAUUUCCAUUCCCAAUAUCUUUUUUGCAGCACCCAAAUCCUUCAUCUCAAACUCAUCACUCAACUGCUUUUUCAGAAUGUUAAUUUGUGACAUGCUUUUAGCAGCAAUAAGCAUGUCAUCCACAUACAAUAGCAAAUAAACAAAGGAAUCAUCUGAAAGCUUCUUAUGAUACACACAACUGUCAUAUGAACUACGAUUAAAGCCAUUACGAACCAUGAAUGUAUCAAAUCUUUUGUACCACUGCCUAGGAGAUUGUUUCAGACCAUAUAAAGAUUUCUUAAGCAAGCAAACACGGUUUUCCAUACCUGGAAUGACAAAUCCCUCAGGCUGACUCAUAUAAAUUUACUCCUCCAACUCACCAUGAAAAAAUGUUGUCUUCACAUCUAGUUGCUCAAACUCUAGAUCAUGAAGAGCAACCAUAGCAAGUAAGACUCUGAUAGAACUGUGCUUCACAACUGGAGAAAACACUUCAUUAAAGUCAAUCCCCUCCCUCUGAGUAAAGCCUUUUGCUACCAACCGUGCCUUAUAUCGAGGUGCUUCAACCCCUGGAGUGCCUUCCUUUUUCUUGAACACCCAUUUGCAACCUACCACUUUUUGUCCCUUAGGCAAUGUUACAAGCUCCCAAGUCUGAUUCUUGUGAAGAGAUUCAAUUUCUUCACUCAUAGCACCGACCCACUGAUCUGCAUCUGAACAAGAAAUAGCUUCUCUAUAAUUGCUGGGUUCAUGCACAUCAACUGUUUUAGCGACUGACAAGGAAAAUGCAACUAGAUCUGCAUAUGCAUAUCUUUGUGGUGGUCUAAUCUGUCUUCUCUCUCUACCAGUUGCAAUGCUAUAUGGUUCCUGUUGCUGUUGCUCAGGUGCAUCCUCUUGUUGAUCAGGAUCUUGCACCUCAUCCUCUGAAUCACUGGACUGAACUGCUGAAGUAUCAAUAUCAAGCUCCACCUGUUCUCUGACACCGUGAUCUGAUUCUGCUAUUGACUUCUCCCUCUGACUAUCCAAUGAAGCAGACUCAUUAAAUGUCACAUCCCUGCUGAUAAUUAAUCUUGGAGACUUUGGAUCAUUGCACCAUAACCUGUAGCCUUUCACUCCAGAUGCAUACCCUAGAAAUAUGCAUUUUCUUGCCCUUGGCUCAAGCUUACCAUCUCUCACAUAAGCAUAAGCAGGGCAACCAAAUUCUCUCAGCUGAGAUUAAUCAACAGGUGAACCGGACCAGAUCUCAAAAGGAGUUUUGCACUCAAUAGCUGUAGAUGGAGAUCUAUUAACCAAGAAACAGGUUAUAUUAAUUGUUUCAGUUCAGAAAUCCUUUCCCAAUCCUGAAUGUGAGAGCAUGCUUCGUGCUUUAUCACAAAGCGUUCUGUUCAUGCGUUCUGCAAUACCAUUCUGUUGUGGUGUCCUUGUACAAGUGCGAUGUCUCACUAUACCUUCAUUGCUGCAGAAUGCAUUGAACUCACGAUUGCAAAAUUCCAACUCGUUAUUAGUUCUAAGACGUUUAACCUUCUUUUUUGUCUGCUUCUUAAUCAUCGUUUUCCACUUUACAAAGGUUGAAAAUGCCUCAUCUUUUGUUUUCAGAAAAUACACCCACACCAUCCGAGAGUAAUCAUCAAUCAAAGUCAUGAAGUACCUAGCACCGCUCUUGGAAAGGAUUCUGUUAGGACCUCAUAGAUCUGAGUAGAUAUAAUCCACCGUUCCUCUGGUCAUGCGCACUGCCUUUUUUUCGAACUUCACCCUGGUAUGUUUGCCAAACACACAAUGUUCACAAAAGUCCAUAAAUUCUAUUUUCUGCCCGUCCAACAAAUCCUGCUUGCUUAACACAGAUAAUCCUCUUUCACUCAUAUGACCAAGACGCAUAUGCCACAAUUGAGUCUGAUUUUGAUUAUUGAUUUCGGAUGCUACUGCAGCUUCCCCUGAAACUGUACUGCCCUGAAGAAAAUAUAAUCCUGAAACCAAACUGCUCUUCAUGAGUACUAUAGAGCCCUUGCACACUUUGAGAACUCCAUUCUCUGCAUGGUAUCUGAAUCCAUGAGAGUCAAGUGUCCCAAGAGAAAUCAGGUUCCUCUUUAGUCCUGGAACAUGCCAACACUCUAUAGUUCUGACAAUGCCAUCAAACAUCCUCAAUUUGAUGUUACCAAUUCCUUCAACAGAUAAUGCAAGAUCAUUGCCCAGAAACACCUUGCCACUCAUCUGUUUGUAAGUGACAAACCAGUUUCUGUGUGGACACAUGUUAUAAGUAGCACCAGUAUCAAGAAUUCAGGAAUUUUGUCCAUGAUCUGAACUCACAGAUAAAAUUUCUCCAGCACUGUCAUCACCAUCAGAAUCAAUAAAACUAUCAACCACAUUCGCAGAACUUUCUGGUUGCUUUUCCUUUUUAUUUUUCAACUUGGGACAGUCUUUCCUAUAGUGACCUUGGUCCCCGCACUCAAAACAGUUAGCCUUUUUCAUUCUUGACUUAGAUCUGGCCUUAGAUUUCUUCCUGCUAGAAGAACCCUCCCUUGAAUGUGUUCUUCCCCUGCUCACCAAACCUUCCCCCUCAAAUCUUUCUCUAUUAUCUGGAAAUUUCUUUUUCAACUCCUUCGAUUUUAGAGAAUUACUAACAUCGUCUUGUGAAAUACUGUCUUUCCCAUACAACAGAGUAUCAACAAAAGUUUCAUAGGAGGGUGGCAAAGAACAUAACACAAUAAGGGCCUGAUCCUCACUAUCAAUCUUAAUAUCAAUAUUCUUUAGGUCCAUAAUGAUUGAAUUGAAUUCAUCCAGAUGUUCUUUAAUGGGCGUACCUUCGUUUAUUCUCAGAUUGUAAAGUCUUUUCUUUAGAUACAGGCAGUUGGUCAGCGAUUUGGCAGAGUAUAACUCCUUUAAUUUCUUCCAUGCCGCAGAUGCUGAUCUUUCACUAGCAAUCUCGCGUAGGACAUUAUUAGUUACGCUCAUGAAAAUUACACUCAAGGCUCUCUCCUUUAGAUCAACCUUCUCCGCCUCUUUCAUAUCUUCUGGAAAGUUAUCCUUGAUUGCCUUUCAUAGACCUAGCAGGAUCAAGGAAGAUUUGAUUUUAAUCUUUCACAGACUGAAACUCGAUCCACUAUUAAACUUCUUUAUCUCAUACUUCAUUGAAGACGACGCCAUCUAUAAACCCUAGGUUUUGCGCACAAAGCUCUGAUACCAGUUUGUUAUAACAAGCACGCAAAUCUAAGGCACACACAUAAAUCGCACAAUCACACAGUAUUGAAAAGAGAAGAAGAAUAACACAGGAUUUAACGUGGUUCAACCGUAAGGUCUACGUCCACGGGCAAGACAAGAAAAAAAAGUUCCACUAUGAUGAAAAGAGCAAGAUACAAUCAAUCAGAACUCUCAAACCCUAAUCCCAGUGUGUUUUCUGAAUAUCUCACAACUCUACCGCAAAGGAUAGAAUAUUAUAAUAUUUUUACUGAUCCAUACUACCACCACAGAUCUCACUUUUUAUCCCAAUUGGGUCACAGCGCGAAAAUUUUAAGUCGGGUCACAAUUCGUGUCCAUGAAAAAAUAUAUUAAAAAUUCAAGCCACAAAAAUAACAAUUACCUUUUCUCCAUUUUCAUUUUUAAUAGGAACUAAUUGAUGUGGGAAGUUCAAAAAAAUGGGCCAAAGCACCACCUUGCACCUGGUCACCCAUUCCUCCACCAGAAUUGAGAGGAGAGCCUUUAGAAGAUUUGAGCACCAAUGGAGGGUUUGUUUCUUUUGGUAUGCUGUUGCCCUGUCCUGAAUACAAAACCAUACAUAGCAUGGUUUAAAUAACAUUAAUAUUAACUUAGGCAAAAAUUAUCAUUAACAGAAAACAGUCACAUUACCAAUCAAGCUUUAACAAACGAAAUUCAAGAACCCAAUCCAUUGAUUAUACAUCUUUUAUUUUAUUUUUUAAUAUUAGCGGCAGCAUUUAAUUUUUCUCUCCCACUUUUGAGUUAUUUUCCAUAUAUAAGCAAACCUUUUGAGGAUGUUCAGACUGACAAUGUACAGUCAUAUUUCAGAUAUUUCAUCACGUCAUGUUGAAGUUAAAAAAAUAGAUAAGACUGCAUGGGGUCUAUUAAACUUCUAUUCCUACAUGAAAAACCACAUAAAGGUUGUAGACCCUUAUUUUAUAAUGAAUAUGUGCAUUGAGGCCAUGGAAAACCCGAUGAUAAAAAAUUAUAUGACUGUAAGAUAUAAUUGGAGACAUGGAACUGAAUUAUUAAUUCCGUGGCAUGAUCUUGAAAAAAAAAAAAUAUGUUUUUUGGGAAAUUAAUUUAAUUUGAAUAAAAUCUUGUUUUGUUUAAAUUUAAUAUGGGUAGUUCUUAAAUGGAUCUAAUUAAGUUUAAUUGGGCUCCGUGGGCCUAAGAAAGCCUAGUUAGGAAUUUUAAAUGGGACCCAUUUAAUUAUUUUCUAAAAAUUAAAAUAACAAAAUAUCUCUCUCCUCCUUGGCCCCACUCUCUUCCUCACUCCCUAUUGGUGCCUUCCAUUUUUUCCUGUCUUCCUAUUGGUUGAAACACCUCACCCAUAUCCCAGUCUUAUUCGAAUUCUGCAAUCGUAGUUGUUUAAGUCAUCUAAACUUUAUCACCCUAAGACUCCAAACCCUAUCACACCUCUCUCCCAAAACCCUAUAAAUACCCUACUAGAGAAAGGAAGAAAGGAGGGGACGAUGGGAGGAAAGAGGAAGAGAAAAUUCAGAGCUAUAGGAAAUUUAGAGAUAUUCAAGACUCUUUGAGUUCUUCCUUAUUUUUUCUUUUCUUCAAGAAGAUUUUCAUACAAGAUUUCUGGAAGGUCAGUUUUUAUUGUUUUCUUUUCAAGAUCUAUGCCACACAAUAUUUUAAUUCUAUGCUCUUUGUCUUCAAUUUAUUUUAUAUGUUCAUAUAGAUCAUGUAAUCAUGUUUAAUUUGAGGGGAUACACAACUCUGCACAUGUUUAGUUUCUGUCUCUCGUAUUUUUAUUAUUUUUCUUUAUUUUCUGAAUCUGUAAAAAAUUUGUAAAAAUUAUAUUCAUAUUCUACACGAAAUUCUAUUAAUUUUAGGCUCAAGAAUCACUAAAAAAGCUUUAAUAUUUUGUAAGUUAUGGCUGUUUGAAGUUAGGGUUCCUGUAAAAUCUGAUUUGCAGGAUAUCCGACUUGUGGAGCCCAUAUCUCCCUUGUUUCUUAAUAUUUUUGUGUAAAUCUAGUGUCUAAAAUUAAUUUCAGAAUCUUAUGAAUCUUUUCCAAUUGGUUUUGCAUUCAUAUCUGUUGUGGUUAAUGAGUUAUGAAUUUUACAAAAAAGUAGUGCGAUUCUGUUACUGGAAAAAGUUACAAUUUGUGUAGACCAUUCGGCUAGGGUUUUGUUUGAUUUAUAAAUUUUAUGAUCUUGUAUGAUAUGUAGGCUGUCUUCUGUAAUUUUUUUAUGAUUUUUAGGCAUGUAUAACUAUUUUUAAAAAAUCGGAUUUCUUGCUACCGUUAAUCUGCCAGAAUUUGAAAAUUGUAUAUUUAUGCAUGUUCUUGUAUUUUCUUGGGUUCCAAUUGAUAUUUGAUCUAUUUUUCUGUGUUCUUUUAAUUCAAGAAGUGUUAUGAAGUGUUUGGAUCAUGUUAGAAGACUUAGACCAUUAGGUAGUUGUAACUAAUUAGGAAUCUUAACCCUUUAGGAGACUAGAGUUAGAAUCCAAUGUAAAUUGUUAUUAAUAUUUUCUUUAUUUCUUUUAUUUUCUUUAGUUUCUUUAUUUUUUAUUACAAACAAAAUUGGUAAGUAGCCCUAAGGUAAGUACCAAAGAGGGCAUUUGCGUGGAGCUUAUAUGGAGCUAAACGGGAGUAAGCCAGGGAUAUCAUUGCCAUACUAGAAGAGAAGACCCUUUUUUAAGGGUAGCUUGCCCCAAUGGCAACUGCAUUUACCAACAGGUAAGUAGCUCUAAACUUCUCGAAUAACCAUUGGCAUGAAAUUGUAGUAAUAAUAGAACUUUUAUUUGGUAAAUUAAAAUUAACUUUGUUUUUAAUUUAACUGACUUUUGCAUGUAAUUAAUUUAAAUAAAUACUUUGUAAAUUAAAAUUAAUCUUGUUUGUAAAUUAAACUAACAUUGGCAUGAUAAAAAUCUUUAUUAGGUUGUGAUUGUUUGGGCCUUAUGUGAUAUUAGAAUAAAUUACACAUGUACAUAAUUAACUUAGUUCAAUUAUCCUUAGGGUAACUUGGUGAAAAUUAAUUAAUUAGGUUAAAUAGAAACGUAGGGUUAUUUGAAAUUGAAUUUGUUUGUAAAUUAAAUUCUCAAUAAUAAAUUAAUUUUAGUCAUCUGGUAAAUAUCAUUUAAAUAAUUAGCAACCCCAUAGAUAGGAAUUACUUGUGCAUGAAAAUUGUGUGUAAACAACAACCCUUUUUGUGAAUUACUUGCGUGUGUAGGAUUAGAAUUGCAUUUUUAGAAUAAAGUUUAAUAAAGAAAUAAUAAAUAAGAAACAUUAGUAGAGGACUGACACUUAAAUUAACGAGGUUAGACCAGGCGUAAGGGGUGCCUAACACCUUCCCCUUACGUACCCACUAUCCCGAACCUAGACAUUGGGCUAUGGUAAUGACGGUUGUGGAAACUCUGCAAGGAGUAAGUUGCCAUCCAUGACCCUCGGAAGAAACACUGAAUAUGUCCCGGUUAUUACCCGGGUGGCGACUCCUGUCUAUCUAUGCCUUCGUGGCAUAAAUCCUUAGUACCGUGGUAGUGUUAUGGGAAGACGGUACUUACCAGUGGUUUGAUUCUAUUAGGAUUGUAUGAAGUGCAUGUCUAGGAAAUGCUGUCUAAGGAGGUGGUACUUAAGUGAGACCAUUGUGACUCCACCAUCUUUCCUGGGCAUUACCUGGUGCAUUUUAUAUAAUUCUAAUGGAUGAUAUUUCGCCUCACGCCCCCCUCCCACAGUUUGGCAACUCCACUGGGGACUAAAUGGAUAGUUACUCCAACAUGUUUCUAUUAGUCUAAUAUUAUUCCUCUGUUAAACUUUUUGCAUUGCACUACACUAUCACACGGAUCACCCUUACCCUUUUAGCCUCGUUAGUACUAGCCAAGGAGACCAUGGUUCUACUCGAGCUAUGACGAAUUGGUGAAUGCUAGCACCCCAUGCCCGUACCUUCGAGUAUAUAAAAGAGCCACAGCUCCGGCCGUUGUGCUUAAUGGACAAGCUCUCGCAUGGGUGACCCUUUUCCUACCCAAUAAAGCCCAUGAGCCAUAGAUUUCAACCCUAGGUACCCCGUAGAUUUUUGUUGUGCUGGAUUCGUAUCCUUACUGUUCAAACCAUAAGUUCUAGUGGUAGUUGAGAUGAACCUAGGCCUAUGCAUAGGCCCAAUGUGUGUAUAGGCCCAAGUCCAUUUCAAAACCCAUGUUAAGCAAGAGGAUGCUUACUUAUGGUUAAACUUUAAGGAUAUAAAUCCUUUGUUUGUGAGGGAAGGAUCGUCCUGGACCACCCCCUGUUGGUGUGUCCAGUGUACCGUAGCCUAGGAUAGAAUUUUUUCUUACCAUGCACGUGAGAGUUGAAGGUAUAAGGGGGCGAAGAUUCAGUUCUGGAGAUUUUUUUUUUUUUCGGUUCUGAUUCAGUCUUUGGUCCGAUCUUAGUUCAGUUUAUAUGGUCUGGUUUUGGUUCAGUUUUGGUUCUAUUGGUAUGGUUCAGUUUUGGUUUUGUAAAAGUAAAGGCAAAAAAAAAAAAAAAAAAAAAAA